UUCCCCCCAGUCGUCCACUGGGUGGUGCUGUUAGGAAGGUACAAUGGAGCCUGCUGCCUCCAACUGACAAUACAAGAGUCCCGCUACUUGUAUCAGCGUUACAUGAAGGCAAAUAUACACUUAAUGUUAUACUGCAGUAAAAAAAAAGGGAAAAAAAAGUGUUUUUACCUGCUGAGAGUCAACAGCGUAAUUGGCCAAAUGCCUAACUAAUGACUUAAUGUAUUGGUCCAUUGAAGGCACCCACCCAUCCUGGCCCUGCUAUGGCUCUCCAGAGAAGCGCGUGCUUGCUAACGUGCAAUGGGCAAUGACUUCACUUCGCUCCCCACAAGUGACAUCCUCCAUGCUCCCGUCCAGCCAAUCUGGAGCUGCCGUCUAACGCUCCCCUCUCCGCUCGAACCAAUCAGGGGGACGGGCUUCUCGUAAUACUAUUCUCACAGACGUGGGUUCUGCUCGCGUUGUAGCCCCACCUCGUACAGAGCAGAACAGGGGGCGAACCCAGCGCAAAGAAAACAAGUUAUUAUAGAACCGCGAAUGAUGUCCUUUUCUUGGUGAUCCUUCCCUAAGAACUUUUUACUCAUGAGCCAAAAAUCUGGAUUAGGGAAAAUGAAUAAGACGGGGAAAGGGGAGCCCCACGUCUUUAAGGAGAAGACGUUUAAGAAGAAGCGUCAGUGCUCCGUGUGUCGGCAGGGAGUGGACGGCCUGGGCUCCUUCUGCAGAGUUUGCAAGACGGCUACUCACAGAAAAUGCGAGUCAAAGGUAAGCAUCACGCCCUAAUACGGUCGCCUUGGUUUUGAAAUCUUUCUUUGCUGCAAUGACUCCUGUUUCGAGACAGUCGGCUGUUGAGAAAACCCUUUCAACCCCAUCUCCUCUGAUGAAACUCAGUGCUGCAGAGUCGACCAAAACACUAGAAACUAAGAAACUAAGAGUUCAUAAAACCAUAGCGUCCUUAACCUGUAGUACCGGGUCAAAGCGCCAGGGUUGGGUUACCGAGGGCGGGCCACAUGAUCGGAGUGUGUGUCGCGGUCAGGGUUCGACCCCUCUGCCGGAGGCCUUCGUCAUGAAGAGGCCUCUGUUUCAGGGGGUUCCCCCCCCCUCUGAGAGCAAAACCACCGUCCAGGAGGACCUGGCUGCACCGGCUCUCUGAAAGAGUCAUUGAUGAAGAUGAUGAGGCCAUGGACACUUUGGAGGAGAAGGUGGAGGAGGAAUGGGAU